CAGAGCUUGAGGCCUUUUAGGAAACUGCUUUCCUGUCGCAGAAUGCUGGACCAGCCCGAGAGUUUCAGGAAAUGUCAGUUCCCAUGGUCUGGCGGGGAAGUGAGAGUCAAAUGCCGAGAGUGGAACUUAAUUCCCCAUUUUUCGGACAGUAAUCAAGAAAGAAGGUCUGUUUCUCCAAUGAGCACCUUGCGCCCUUCAAUUGGCAUUAAUAGAAUUUAGGCUGGGCAUCUGGUCAUCCAAAAUAAACACUACACGCACAGCCUGAUUUUCAGCAACAAUGUGAAAAAGAACGCAUUCCAUGUAUGGAUUUUCACACUGGCGUAACAUCUGAUCACCUUCCUGAUUUGGGCCGAAUGUUAUUUUAAAAUGGGAGCCUGUAGGUAGACACUUGAGAGGCAUUCCUAAAUUUACAUAUCCUUUUAUUUUUUCUUCUUCAUACGCAAGAAUUGGCUUAUCCAAAUGAUUCCCCAUCUUUUCACUGAAAAUGUCAUUGGCUCUCAGAGCCGAGUUGAUACUCUCAUUGGGUUUACCAUGUGCUUUAAAUACACUAUGGUCAGAUUUCCUGGACUUUUUACUCAAAGUAAAAGUAAAAUAACACAUUUCAUUGGUGCUCAAGUCUGGGUUCUGGAUUUCCACAGAUGCUUCAUGCUUGACUUCACUUCCAAGCUUACUGGUACUGCCACACUCCUUUAUGUCAGAUAGAGGAUGAACAGCAAUUCUUCCAGGACAGGUCUGCUUGAUGGCAGUAUCCUUAGAAAAGGGAAAGAUUAAAAACUUAAUGAGAAUCACCUUUAA